rnacentral:rRNA from 1 species
UACGUAGGGUGCAAGCGUUAAUCGGAAUUACUGGGCGUAAAGCGUGCGCAGGCGGUUUUGUAAGUCUGACGUGAAAUCCCCGGGCUCAACCUGGGAAUUGCGUUGGAGACUGCAAGGCUAGAAUCUGGCAGAGGGGGGUAGAAUUCCACGUGUAGCAGUGAAAUCCGUUGAUAUUAUGGGGAAUACCAAAAGCGAAGGCAGCACACUGGCGCACUCCUGACACUGAGACACGAAAGCGUGGGUAGCGAAUGGG